UCUACGGGCGGCAGCAGUGGGGGAUAUUGCACAAUGGGGGAAACCCUGAUGCAGCGACGCCGCGUGUGGGAAGACGGUCUUCUGGAUUGUAAACCACUGUCCCCAGGGACGAAAAUGACGGUACCUGGGGAGGAAGCUCCGGCUAACUACGUGCCAGCAGCCGCGGUAAUACGUAGGGGGCAAGCGUUGUCCGGAAUUACUGGGUGUAAAGGGAGCGUAGGCGGGGAUGCAAGUUGGGUGUCAAAACUACCGGUGCAACCGAUAGUCGCACUCAAAACUGCAGCUCUUGAGUGAAGUAGAGGCAGGCGGAAUUCCGAGUGUAGCGGUGAAAUGCGUAGAUAUUAGGAGGAACACCAGUGGCGAAGGCGGCCGGCUGGGCUUUUACUGACGCUGAGGCUCGAAAGUGUGGGGAGCAAACAGGAUUAGAUACCCUUGUAGUC
rnacentral:rRNA from 1 species